CUUCUUCUUGAGAGCGGCGGACGGGUGAGUAAUGCCUAGGAAUCUGCCUGGUAGUGGGGGACAACGUUUCGAAAGGAACGCUAAUACCGCAUACGUCCUACGGGAGAAAGUGGGGGAUCUUCGGACCUCACGCUAUCAGAUGAGCCUAGGUCGGAUUAGCUUGUAGGUGAGGUAAUGGCUCACCUAGGCAACGAUCCGUAACUGGUCUGAGAGGAUGAUCAGUCACACUGGAACUGAGACACGGUCCAGACUCCUACGGGAGGCAGCAGUGGGGAAUAUUGGACAAUGGGCGAAAGCCUGAUCCAGCCAUGCCGCGUGUGUGAAGAAGGUCUUCGGAUUGUAAAGCACUUUAAGUUGGGAGGAAGGGUUGUAGCUUAAUACGCUGCAACUUUGACGUUACCAACAGAAUAAGCACCGGCUAACUCUGUGCCAGCAGCCGCGGUAAUACAGAGGGUGCAAGCGUUAAUCGGAAUUACUGGGCGUAAAGCGCGCGUAGGCGGCUUGAUAAGAUGGGUGUGAAAUCCCCGGGCUUAACCUGGGAACUGCAUCCAUAACUGUCUGGCUAGAGUACAGU
rnacentral:rRNA from 2 species